rnacentral:rRNA from 1 species
CCUACGGGUGGCAGCAGUGGGGAAUAUUGCGCAAUGGGCGAAAGCCUGACGCAGCGACGCCGCGUGAGGGAUGAAGGUCUUCGGAUCGUAAACCUCUGUCAGCAGGGAAGAACGGUCACUGUGCUAAUCAGCAGUGAAUUGACGGUACCUGCAAAGGAAGCACCGGCUAACUCCGUGCCAGCAGCCGCGGUCAUACGGAGGGUGCGAGCGUUAAUCGGAAUUACUGGGCGUAAAGCGCUCGUAGGCGGUAUGUCAAGUCAAGGGUGAAAGCCCCGCGCUCAACGUGGGAACUGCAUUUGAAACUGGCAAACUGGAGUGUGUGAGAGGAUAGUGGAAUUCCAGGUGUAGGAGUGAAAUCCGUAGAUAUCUGGAGGAACAUCAGUGGCGAAGGCGACUAUCUGGCACAUAACUGACGCUGAGGAGCGAAAGCGUGGGUAGCAAACAGGAUUAGAUACCCCAGUAGUC